rnacentral:lncRNA from 1 species
CAUUUUUGCUCAAUAUUUUCGCAAGGUGAAAUAUUCUCAGAAUUCACAUGUCUGUUAUUUGCUUUGAAAAUGGGUGUCGUCGCCCUGUUUUCCUCUCGGCUCUGAAGGACAUAGGUGGCUUGAAGAGUGCGCUGUGAUGUCAGAGACAAAGUGAAUUGCGCGGCCAACACCACCAGGUAAAUGUCACCUUGUGCCUGGCAGACUCUCCUACCUGCUUCUUGUGAAUUGGUGGGAUCAUCGGCCUCAACAUAGAGCAGCUCGAAGCCUCCUAGUACCGGGUGAGGCAAAGUCCAUUCUCAAGCCUGAUCACCCAGAUGGAACAGAGAAAUCUGUUACCGGCCUCUGAACAUCAACAGCGCAUAAUUAGCAGCUGCUAAAAUAAUGGAAGUCAAUUGAACAAAAAUGUGGCGCGUUCUGCCUUCAUUUAUUAAAUACCUUAUGUUUCCAAACACUGUGCUCCACAGCGGCUGAAGGGCCUUCGAGGGGCAUCGCAGCAAGUAUCCCUCCCUGGGCACCAGACACAAAGAACCGACUGACUUUUGUGAUGAACUUUCCAAACGAGCUGUUGCUACAGCCGACAAACCGACAAGCCGGCCGAGGGACCCGACUACUUCCCCUGAGCCCGACGACAAAAUAGAUUUGUCGCAAGCAAACUACAAUCUUCCUUUGAAGACAUGGAUGACAUAGUAAAACCGAUUGCACUUGAGAGCCGAUUCCAUGACUAUUUUGCUGCAACAGCGUGAAUGUCAUCACUCUUUCUUAUGCGAAGAUUGUGUCCAGAUCCAUGAAAUCAGCCAUGGCUUUGUUCAAAAUAUAAUAUCAGGAAUACAUAUGUUGAGGAGCAAGAAUUCUCUGUCCCCUUUCAAGUCCUGGGGGGACUACGAAUCAAAUUGACAAGAGACAGGUAAAUGGGAGAAAAUCAAAUUUAAUUUUGUAUGUAGACAUACAUACAAUUUUUUUUGUAUGUAUUUUGUAUUUUGUAUGUAUUUGUAUGUAUUUUGUAUGUAGACACACAGAUAGAGACAUUCCUAGGGUAGUCAGGCAAAAUUAAGGAUGCAUGUCAUCCUGAAAUAAGGAGAAGGGAGUAAAGAUCUGGGACUUCAACAGGAAAGGAAUGCAGUUC